CAGUGCCACUGGAGCCGUCCUGCAGGUGGUGGCUGUUCGUACCCCCCAUGUCUCCAGCCCCCGCGUGUGUGUUUACAGUCAUGCGGACCAAGUGCCUACACAUCCUCCUGCUGACGGCGCUGACGGCGACGUCGGUAGUCCAAGGGGACAAACUUCCCAGUGGAGGACAACAUGAUGGAAGGCACAGCAGUGGCAACAGACCUGGACACAAUUCACAGACGCCGUCACAGAACUAUGGACUUCCCCAGCAGGGUUCCUCCUCUGGGUCUCACCGGCAGGGUACCCGUGGGUCAGGCUCGGCGGAGGGGCCAUCCAGCUCAUACAGCUCGAGCACCUUCCGUGCUGGAGAUGACGCCCUGAGCCCUCCCAGUCAGUCUUAUGAUUUGCCUCAGACCCCAUCUCCGGCUAGCCAGACCUACGGCGCCCCUUCGCACACUCAGACCCCACAAUCGAUUAGUCAGACAUAUGGGCCACCCCAGACAGGCACACAGACCCAGACAGUAAGUCAGACCUAUGGUACACCCCAAAAGACACAGACACAGACUCCUUCCCAGACAUAUGGAGCCCCCCAGUCGUCCGGCGGUAAUCAGAAUUACGAAGCGCCCCUUCAGACCUUAGGAGCGCCACAACAGCCCUCGCAAACUUUCGGAACACGGCUGGAGCCUCGAAAGUCUUACGGAGCACCCCAGCAGCCGUCACAGUCUUACGGAGCACCUAAGCAGCCAUCACAGUCUUACGGAGCACCCCAGCAGCCGUCACAGUCUUACGGAGCACCUAAGCAGCCAUCACAGUCUUACGGAGCACCCCAGCAGCCGUCACAGUCUUUCGGAGCACCCCAGCAAUCGUCACAGUCUUUCGGAACACCCCAGCAGCCGUCACAGUCUUUCGGAACACCCCAGCAGCCGUCACAGUCUUACGGAGCACCAAAGCAGCCGUCACAGUCUUAUGGAGCACCCCAGCAAUCGUCACAGUCUUUCGGAGCACCCCAGCAAUCGCCACAGUCUUCCGGAGCACCCCAGCAGCCGUCACAGUCUUACGGAGCACCCCAGCAGCCGUCACAGUCUUACGGAGCACCCCAGCAAUCGUCACAGUCUUUCGGAGCACCAAAGCAGCCGUCACAGUCUUACGGAGCACCCCAGCAACCGUCACAAUCUUACGGAGCACCCCAGCAACCGUCACAGUCUUACGGAGCACCCCAGCAAUCGUCACAGUCUUUCGGAAGACCCCAGCAGCCGUCACAGUCUUACGGAGCACCCCAACAACCGUCACAGUCUUACGGAGCACCCCAGCAGCCGUCACAGUCUUACGGAGCUAAACAACGAGAGCUUCAGGUGCCUUCUCAAGGUUAUGUGGGCCCACAACCACAAGCAUCUUCCCAGGGUUACAGAACCCCGCAACAAAACCUACAGACGCCCUCACAAUCUUCCGGUCCAGCACAGAAACCCUCACAGAACUAUGGACCACCUCGGCAACAGCUGCAGAAGCCUCCACGGAGCUAUGGAACACCACAGAAACCUUCUCAAUCAUAUUCAUCUCCCAAACAAACCCAACAGAAACCAUCGCAGGAGUAUACGCCUCCACAACAGAAUCAAAAUACAGGUUACGGAGGUCAACAGAACAACGGAGGGGUCUACGGUAAUGGAGAACACAUGAAGGGGAUGCCGUACGGGUUCGACUACGCUGUCAACGACAGGUACUCUGGAGUAGACUUCUCGCAGAAGGAGUCCUCGGACGGUGACGUGGUCACGGGCGAGUACAGGGUCCAGCUGCCAGACGGACGCCUCCAGAUUGUCACCUACACCGCCGAUCAUCACAACGGCUAUGUGGCUAACGUCAGGUAUGAAGGAGAGGCCCAAUACCCAAAAGGUAACGACAACGGUGGCAACGGAUAUGGCCGGCAACAGAACAACGGUGACGGGAGCGGUUAUGGCCGAGAACAGAGCAACGGCGGUGGCAGCGGUUACAGCGGACAACAGAGCAACGGCGGUGGCAGCGGCUACAGCGGACAACAGAGCAACGGCGGUGGCAGCGGCUACAGCGGACAACAGAGCAACGGCGGUGGCAGCGGCUACAGCGGACAACAGAGCAACGGCGGUGGCAGCGGCUACAGCGGACAACAGAGCAACGGCGGUGGUAGCGGCUACAGCGGACAACAGAGCAACGGCGGUGGCAGCGGCUACAGCGGACAACAGAGCAACGGCGGUGGCAGCGGCUACAGCGGACAACAGAGCAACGGCGGUGGCAGCGGCUACAGCGGACAACAGAGCAACGGCGGUGGCAGCGCUUACAGCGGACAACAGAGCAACGGCGGUGGUAGCGGUUACAGCGGACAACAGAGCAACGGCGGUGGUAGUGGUUACAGCGGACAACAGAGCAACGGCGGUGGUAGCGGUUACAGCGGACAACAGAGCAACGGCGGUGGCAGCGGUUACAACGGACAACAGAGCAACGGCGGUGGCAGCGGUUACAGCGGACAACAGAGUAAGGUCAGCGAUAAUACUUCAGGAAUUCAAGACGAUCCAAGAUACAGCAGUAGCUACAGUACAAACUAACGAGGCAGCAAUGUUUCCAGGAACACGAAGAACGUGUAGAGUCCGCCAUAUACACUAACGCACCUCACACACACACACACACACACACACACACACACACAC
rnacentral:misc_RNA from 1 species